rnacentral:rRNA from 1 species
AUACGGAGGAUCCGAGCGUUAUCCGGAUUUAUUGGGUUUAAAGGGUGCGCAGGCGGCCAUUUAAGUCAGCGGUUAAAUCGUGGGGCUCAACCCCAUUCUGCCGUUGAUACUGGGUGGCUUGAUUGCGGUCGAGGUUGGCGGAAUUCGUUGUGUAGCGGUGCAAUGCAUAGAUAUGACGAAGAACACCGAUUGCGUAGGCAGCUGACCAGACCGCAAAUGACGCUCAUGCACGAAAGUGCGGGGAUCGAACAGGAUUAGAUACCCUGGUAGUCCGCACAGUAAACGAUGAAUACUUGUUUUCGGCGAUAUAAUGUCGGAGGCAAAGCGAAAGCGAUAAGCAUUCCACCUGGGGAGUACGCCGGCAACGGUGAAACUCAAAUGAAUUGACGGGG